AGCUCAGCUGGCUAGAGCGUACGGUUCAUACCCGUGAGGUCGGGGGUUCGAUCCCCUCC
rnacentral:tRNA from 1 species